AAAAGAUUUAAUUAAAGUCUUUAUUAAUUUUUUAUUUAAUUUGAAAUAUAUGUCUAUUUAAGAAUAAAUUAUAAUUUUUCAAUAUCAAGAAUUAAAUUUAAGAGAAAUCUUUAUUUAGAAAUUUAACUUGCUAAUAAUAAAGAUUGUGCCAGCAAUUGCGGUUAUACAAUCAUUAUAAAGAAAUUUUUUUGGUUUAGUUAAUUAAUUUAUUAUAAUAUAGUUAAUAUUUUUAGGUGAAAUUUAAAUUUUAAACUUACAAUAAUUUAUAAUAAGAAUACUAAAAAUCUAUUAUUAGACUAGGAUUAGAUACCCUAUUAUAAAGCUUAAUUAAGACCUUAUGAUUAAUAGUUAUAUUCUAAAAAGUAAAAUAAUUUGGCGGUAUUUUAUCUUUUCAGAGGAACUUGCUUUAUAAUUGAUAAUCCACGAUAUGAAGAACUUAAAAUUUUAGCUUACAUAUCGUUGUUUAAAAUAUAUAAAAAAGUUAUUUUUAUAAUUUCUUACAAUAAGGUAUUUCAGAUCAAGGUGUAGUUUAUUUUUAAGUAAAAGUGAGUUACAUUAUUAAAAAAUUUGGACUAUAAAUUUAAAAUUUUAUGAAUUUGGAUUUGAGAGUAAAUUUAUAAACUUAUUUAAUUUGAAUAAGCUCUAAAAUAUGUACAUAUCGCCCGUCGCUUUCAAAUAAAUUGAAAUAAGUCGUAACAAAGUAGAUUUACCGGAAGGUGAAUCUUGAUUCAA
rnacentral:ncRNA from 1 species